CCUACGGGAGGCUGCAGUGAGGAAUAUUGGUCAAUGGCCGGAAGGCUGAACCAGCCAUGCCGCGUGAAGGUCAAUGCCCUAUGGGCGUUAAACUUCUUUUGUGCGGGAGCAAUAAUGGUCACGUGUGGCCAGACGAGAGUACCGUACGAAUAAGCAUCGGCUAACUCCGUGCCAGCAGCCGCGGUAAUACGGGGGAUGCAAGCGUUAUCCGGAUUUAUUGGGUUUAAAGGGUGCGUAGGCUGGGAGGUAAGUCAGCGGUGAAAUGCCCCCGCUCAACGGGGUGAAGUGCCAUUGAUACUGGCUGGCUUGAAUGCGGAUGCCGUGGGAGGAAUGUGUGGUGUAGCGGUGAAAUGCAUAGAUAUCACACAGAACACCGAUUGCGAAGGCAUCUCACGAAUCCGCGAUUGACGCUGAUGCACGAAAGCGUGGGUAUCAAACAGGAUUAGAUACCCCGGUAGUC
rnacentral:rRNA from 1 species